rfam:Aquimarina spongiae strain DSM 22623 genome assembly, contig: Ga0070582_117
UCUUUAAAGGGUCGUGGGAGACUACCACGUUGAUAGGCUAUAGGUGUAAAGGCAGUAAUGUCAUAGCCGAGUAGUACUAAUAACCCGUAGGCUUAUGUCG